rnacentral:lncRNA from 1 species
UUGCAUCUUGACUUGUAACUUCAAUCUUCAGAAUCUGUAAAUACAAAAAUUUUGAAAAGACCAUAAGUAACUUUUGGUAUAUAUAAGGAGUAAUAUGUAAAUUUUACACUAAAUUAGUUACACUGCUCAUCGCAAAAAAAAACUCUAACAUUCAGCAAAGGUUAUAUAGAAAUGUCAACAAGAUGCAAGAAUAUAAGAAAAUUAAUUAGGAAAGAUUUGAUAUGCAUUAACCAAGAAUUCAAAUCUAUUUCAAAACACAGAAAUUUGAGGACAAGAGAUAGUAAAAAAUGGAGAAAUUCUCCAUCAAGAAUGUAUGCUAUGGAUACUUUAGAGACUCUAUCAACAUCUCUUUAUAUAGAGUGCAGAUGGAUACCUGAGGUCGAAGGAGAAAUGGGUAGAUCGUGUAGAACUCAACUUCCACUCAAAUAUGUAGAGGAGAGUAUGCCCCUGUCAGCAAUUUUCGUAUUGCAGAGUAAGGAAAAAUGGUGCAUAUGGCGAGGAACAUAAGGGUUCCACAAAACUCAGCUAGUUUAGCUGAAGCUAAGAAGAGGACCUUAGAAUUCUUCAGGAUGUGUUGCAGAUCCGUCCCUGGGUAUGUGGAAAUUUACAACUUAUACGACAUCGAUUCCCCCUCUAAACUCCGUUCUGCUGUCACUGCCGAAGUUCGCAAAAAUUCAAACGUUACUAAUCCUAAGGUAAUUGACAUGCUGCUGUUUAAGGGCAUGGAAGAGUUGACGAACUGUGUAGACCACUCAAAACAGAGGCACCAUCUUGUUGAGAAAUAUGCCUUAGGUAAUCAAGGUCUUGAAGAGGAACUUGGACAUAAAGAUCAGGGUAGCUCUAAUUUCAUGAAACCUUUUACAGCAUCAACUACUUCUAGAUUUCUUUUUAAACUUUGUUGCUACUCUUGUAAUAAACAGUUGCAAUUUAUUGGUAGUAGGAACUCUUUCGAGUCUAGAACAAGUUGUUAUGCUGUCUGCUUUGAGAUGGAAGUCAUGCCUUUUUAUGGGGAAAAAAAAUGUACAGGAGAGUAUGCAUUGAUUCAAGAGAAGACAAUAGAGGCAAUUCUGAAAGGAACUAGUAGCAGCAUGCUAGAGGUCUGAUAUUGGAUAAUAUUCAUAGAAUGGUAUUAUUCAUCUCACUAGAUGCUCUUAGAUUAUAAAGGUACUGAAAAAAGACUUCAAGUGUUUCCUAUUAGAACUUCAAGUAUAAAAUUUGAAAUCUGAUCCAAAUUUGUUCAUGACUAAAAUUAAUAUGGUUUCCUCGUAGUCGUAGAGUUUCCUAUCAGAACUUCUAUUGUCCAGUUAGUAGAGUAUCACUAGUCUAAAUCGUCUAUAAUUUCAAGUUUAUAUGUCUUGAUGUAGUAGGUUGGGAGACAAAAACAGAUUGCAUUCGAAAGUGUAUCACAAGUCUAAAAGGUUUACAGAUUGCAUUCACAGUGAUUGUAUUAAAUCCUAGAGAACUAUCGAUUGUAUUCACAAUGAAUCCUAAAACUUCCAUGUUAAAAAGAACCAUUACGUAAUAGAAAGUGCUUCCCCAAAAAUUGAGGUAGUACAGAAUAAUGAAAUCCUAGAAGGAAUGUUAUUUGACCUUUAGCUUGAUACAAGAAUUAACAUCUAACCACAAGAACCAAAAAGAUGAAAUUGAUGAUUUGAUGGAUUAUAUAAAUUCUUUGGAAAAUGAGUUUGAUGAAGUUGUUUGUAAAGGUCAAUCGCUUGAAGUUCAGUUGCAGGAAAAUAUAAGAUAGUUGUUUUGAAGAAGGAUAUCUCACGAACGUGCAAGGACACAAAAUUGUUUUCAUGUAAAAACUCGUAGGUGACUGCCAGUGCCAAGGAAACCAUAGAAGGAAAAUGUUCCAUUGAGGAGGAAUUGUUAGAGAAAAGGAAUGUUUGUGAGAACUUACAUAUUGAAAUUAUCAAGUAUGAUGAUAUUGUUAGCAAAAUGAGUAAUUCAAUUGAAUGUUCAUAGAGAAAUCUGAAUGGUCUUACUAGUAAGAAGGAAAACCUCCAUAGAGAAAUUCUCAUGUUCCAAAAGAAACUAGAGACAACACAAACUCUUGCGGAGGAAAGUGAAGAAAUUUCCAUAGAAGGAAAAUGGGUGGAGUUGUGCUUUAAGCUACUUUCUUCAGUUACUAACCUCUGAUAUUUUUCUGUUUUUUCAUUUUUUCCGGCUCCCCAUUUUCUUACAACAAUAUUCUAUUCAUGUUAGGUGGCCGAGAUAGCAAAACUCCAGGCUGAUGAGAAAGAAGAGGAGGUUAAAUUAUUUGAGAGGUUUGUUGAAGAACUAAAAUGCAUAGUGAAUGUACUGGAUAAGGAGAUACUCAUUCUUGGCCAAGCUAAAUGUAUUUAUCUAUAUUUUUAUCAUUGAAUAAUCUGACUUAACUUUUCACAGGAGAGGCUGAGCAACAACAGUUACAAAGAAAGAGGCUAGAAAUGGAACUUCAUGCCAUCAAGCAACAAAUGAACUUCAUGAUUGAAAUUCCUAAUUUAUUCACGUUAGUACGCAGGUGGAUAGAAAUCUCUUAGGAAUUAGUGGCACGUUAAUACAUACGUGGAUCAGUUUUAACAAUUUCACCACUUUUACCGCCUUCUCUGUUAGCAUUAAAAGUUGAACAAUAGUUCACUUGUUACUCAGGAUGGAUUUCUCAAGCUUAAUACAACUUGCUCUAUCUUCUAUCAGAACAUUAUUUUAGCUCAUUGAGCUGCGAGUUCCUCUGUUCAAUAACGGUUCAUUGUUCUCUUACUAUUAUAGAACACUAAGUUCUCCUACGAUUGAUCCCCUUCAUUGUUGGGAUCUUAUCACACGACAAACUUAAAUCUAUUUUAACAUACACAAACAGUUAUCUAAGAGAAGAACAGUAACCUGAACAAGAAGAGUCACUCAAACAAGAAGACUAACUCGAACAAGAAGAGUAACUCGAAGAAAACAAACAACACACCUAAUUAGAGAAUAAAUAGAAAUCAACUCGCAUUUAAUACAACUCUCUCUAUCGUCUCUCAAACAAUAUUUUAGUUCAUUUUGCUGCAAGUUCUUCUGUUCAAGAACGGUUAUGAAGAUCCCCUUCAUAUUUUGGAUCUUAUCACACCACAAACUUUAAUAUAUUUUUAAAACAUGACUAGCUAGUAUAGAAGAAAAAGAGUAAAUCAAACAAGAAGGGUUAUAAAUCGCACAAAACAAACAACAAAUCAUAUUUAGAGAUGAAAAAAAUCAUCUCGCGAAGGUGCACAUACCUGAGAUUCGAGUAAGAUAGAAAACAGAGAUUAAGUUCAGAUCGCUUCUAGGCAGACCUGUGCUUUUUCUAUUUUGAGAAAACACAGAUGAAUCAUUGAGAGCUAUAAUCUACGCUGAGAUUGCUGCUAGGCAGAUGCUGCUAGGGUUUUCUGAUUUGGGACACUGUUU